rnacentral:rRNA from 1 species
UACGGGGGGAGCAAGCGUUGUUCGGAAUCACUGGGCGUAAAGGGAGUCUAGGCGGUUUGGUAAGUGGGAUGUGAAAUCCCCGGGCUCACCCCGGGACCUGCAUCCCAAACUGCUGAGCUUGAGUACAGGAGAGGGUGGGGGAAUUCCAGGUGUAGCGGUGAAAUGCGUAGAUAUCUGGAGGGACACCGGUGGCGAAGGCGGCAUCCUGGACCGGCAUUGACGCUGAGGCGCGAAAGCUAGGGGAGCAAACGGG